UAACAAGCUAAACCGGGAUAC
rnacentral:siRNA from 1 species